GCCCAGGUAAGAACUGGUCAGGUGAGGAUUGGUAGCCCAGGUGAGAACUGGUCAGGUGAAGAUUGGCAGCCCA